CAGCAAUGAGGAAGAACAAGUGACCACAUAGACAAGCCCAUGUGAAAAGAAACAACCAUCCAACAACUUGCUACCCAUGCAGCUAAGACAACCAAAGAGUGGGAGCCUUCCCAUGAGGAACAAGGACUAUGGUGGAGAGCUGCCACUAAGCCUUAACUCCUGACAAUUUUGAAAAUCUCCACUUUCCAGAAACAAAAGAAACAAGUUUGUCAAACCAUUUCUAGAGGAAUCCCUGCAAAUCAACAGGAGAAGACAAGAAUUCUCACUUAAAAAAAUAAUAAUAAAGAUAAUAUAGGAAACAUCUAUAGAAGAAAGAACCAAGAAAGUUAAUAAGAAUACUCAGAGACGCUGAAAACCAUUACUAAGCAGAGAGUGGCACUUAAAAGAGCAGUAAGAUACCACGUUUCACCUGUUUGAAAGACAUAAAUCAUAAAGCAAUGUCAAGUGCUCCAGGAACACUGGGGUGUGAGAUCUUUUAUACCCCUGCUAGUGUGAGUGUAAGACAGCAUA